rnacentral:tRNA from 1 species
CUCCUUGUGGUGUAGUUGGCUAUCACGUUCGGCUGUAAUUGGUUAAUCGUAACCGAAAGGUCACCGGCUCGAUUCCGGUCGGGGAGA